UUCCCAGGCUCUGUAGGAGAAUGAGUUUCCUGGCCCUGGAGGCAUCCUGCACUCCUCAGCUUGUGCUGCCCUUCUUGAAUGACUCGAGGUUCCUGCUUCCAUCACUACACUUCCCAUCGCUCUCCAUCACCUGCUCUGCUCUGAUAAGGAUCUGUAGAAAUGCAAUGAUCGUAUCACUGGUCUAUGUAAACACAUUGAAGAAGUAUCUGAAAGAAAAUACGAGAUGCAGUUUUGCCAUGUUGGCCAGCCUCGUCUCCAAUUCUGACCUCAAGCGAUUCACCUGCCUUGGCCUCCCAAGUGCUAGGAUUACAGAGGUAAGUCACCCUGCCUGGCUGUAAUGGGAUAUUUCACUGCAAACUUUGAU
rnacentral:lncRNA from 13 species